rnacentral:rRNA from 1 species
AGAUUGAACGCUGGCGGCAGGCCUAACACAUGCAAGUCGAGCGGUAGAGAGGUGCUUGCACCUCUUGAGAGCGGCGGACGGGUGAGUAAUGCCUAGGAAUCUGCCUAGUGGUGGGGGAUAACGUUCGGAAACGGACGCUAAUACCGCAUACGUCCUACGGGAGAAAGCGGGGGACCUUCGGGCCUCGCGCCAUUAGAUGAGCCUAGGUCGGAUUAGCUGGUUGGUGAGGUAAUGGCUCACCAAGGCGACGAUCCGUAACUGGUCUGAGGGAUGAUCAGUCACACUGGAACUGAGACACGGUCCAGACUCCGUACGGGAGGCAGCAGUGGGAAUAGUUGACAAGUGGCGAAAGCCUGAUCCAGCCAUCGCCGCGUGUGUAGAAGGAGGUCUUACGGAUUAGUAAAGCGUAACUUUUUAAGGUAGGGAGGAAGGUUUAGUAACUUAAGUACGUUGACUAACGUUUGACGUUACCCGAUAAGUAACUAAGACACCGGUACUAACGUUCG